GACGAACGCUGGCGGCGUGCUUAAUACAUGCAAGUCGUACGGUAAGGCCCUUUCGGGGGUACACGAGUGGCGAACGGGUGAGUAACACGUGAGUAACCUGCCCACAACUUUGGGAUAACGCUAGGAAACUGGUGCUAAUACUGGAUAUGUGCUCCUGCUGCAUGGGGGGGGUUGGAAAGCUCCGGCGGUUGUGGCUGGACUCGCAGCCUAUCAGCUUGUUGGUGGGGUAGUGGCCUACCGAGGCGGCGACGGGUAGCCGGCCUGAGAGGGUGACCGGCGACAUUGAGACUGAGAUACGGCCCAAACACCGACGGGACGCAACAGUGGGAAAUAUUGCACAAUGGGCGCAAGCCUGAUGCAGCAACGCCGCGUGCGGGAUGACGGCCUUCGGGUUGUAAACCGCUUUCAGCAGGGACGGAGCUUUUUGUGACGGUACCUGCAGAAGAAGCACCGGCUAACUACGUG
rnacentral:rRNA from 1 species